CUAACUUAUAUAGGUUUGUAAGACUGUGUAGGAGUUUAAAGUUAAGGUAAGAAUUCUUUAAUUUUCUAGGGGACGAUAAGACCCUAGAAGCUUAACAAUAAGGUUUUAGUUUGUUUUAAAAGUUUGUUUGUUUUACUGGGGCGGUAUAAGUAAUUAAGCUAUUUGGUACUUAAAGGAUCCUUUAAAUAAAGAGAAAGUAGAAAAGUUACUCUAGGGAUAACAGUGCGAUAUUUUUGGAGAGAUCUUAUCGAUAAAUAUGUUUGCAACCUCGAUGUUGAAUUAAAAUGUCUUUAUGAAGCAGAAAGCAUAUAAGAAGGUUUGUUCAACCUUUAAAUUUUUACAUGA
rnacentral:rRNA from 1 species